AUUGAACGCUGGCGGCAGGCCUAACACAUGCAAGUCGAACGCGUGGCGGACGGGUGAGUAAUGUCUGGGAAACUGCCCGAUGGCGGGGGAUACCUACUGGAAACGGUAGCUAAUACCGCAUACCAUCGGAUUUGCCCAGAUGGGAUUGGCUAGUAGGUGGGGUAACGGCUCACCUAGGCGACGAUCCCUAGCUGGUCUGAGAGGAUGACCAGCCACACGGGAACUGAGACACGGUCCAGACUCCUACGGGAGGCAGCAGUGGGGAAUAUUGCACAAUGGGCGAAAGCCUGAUGCAGCCAUGCCGCGUGUAUGAAGAAGGCCUUCGGGUUGUAAAGUACUUUCAGCGGGGAGGCGUUACUCGCAGAGGAAGCAACGGCUAACUCCGUGCCAGCAGCCGCGGUAAUAC
rnacentral:rRNA from 1 species